AUAGAAGAAAUGGUGUUCAAAUAUUAGUUUACAUCCAUGAAAGUCAGGAAUAAGAUACAUUAAAGGAAAUUAUACAUAUUUAAAUACAUGUAUAUAUUGUAAACUAUGAGUUGAAUUAUUAUUUUGGGGGAUUAUUGGAAGUUUUUCAAAUCUAAUCAUUGAUACAUUAAUUAAAUUAGAAUACACCAGAGUGGCUCUAAUGCAGCUCAACACUCCACUGUACUCUGGCUGUAAAUGUACUCAGUUACAUCCCAUCGCUGCUCAGCAGUGUCCUGUUGACAAUAAAUCAUUAUUUUAAAAAAAAUGUGCUGCUUUGGCUCUGAGGCAGCAUUCAAUCUGCAAAGUAACUAUAAACCCAAACUAUCAAGUAAAUAUAAUAGAGUAAGAAUACAAUACUUCAAAAUGUAGUGCAGUGGAAGAAGAAAGUAGCAGAAAUGGAAAUUACUCAAGUACAACCUCAAAAACAUAUAAUCAUCAACCAUUGUCUAGAGGAUGUAACUACAUAUUUAUAACUUAUUUUAAGUGUUAACCUCAUGCACACGUUUAAAUCAGUUACAUAAUGUCCAUCAUCUGGUUGCAAGAGACAAUGGGACAAUAUUUGCAUCCGUGGAAGUGGGAGGUCGCGGUAAAUGGAAAUACUCAAGUAAAGUGCAAGUACCUCAGUUUGUAAAUGUACCAAAUUACAUUUCAUCACUGUGGUCAGAUGUUAAAAUAGGCAUUUGACAUCAUAAAAAACAUAUGAAAGCAAUUUAUGAUUGAUUAAUGACAAAUGAGGAAAUAUGUUCUUGAACAUGUAACUCGAUAUUUUAAUUUAUUUCACAUAUUCAUUCUUUAAAUCAGUUUCAUGCUUCACAUGUCGUCUGUCCAUCAUCCGGCUGCUUCACACAGGAGGUCUGAAAUCAAAUCAACCCUCAAGGACAAUAACUGGGGCUGAUUCUCUCUCUAUGACUGAGCGAGGCGAAAGUUUACGAGGAGCACCUGAACGCAGCAGCGUGUUGUGACCGACAGAGUCCAGUAGAGGGCGACAAAUCUCCACCUAUCUGCCUCGUGUGGCGCGCGUGUGUGUCCACAAAGUUGAGAGAAAACUAGAAAACAAACUUUGCGUGUAUUAUUAACACGAUAAAGACCACACACACACACACACACACACACACACACACACACACACACACACACACAGUUGCUCCUACAGGCCACCGGUUCCGCCCAGGCUUUGUGUUUCUGCGCAGGUGCCCAAAAUGAUUGUGCGAAAAUGUGAAAUUUGAUCAGCGGACCAAAACAUCAUUAAGUCCCCGCUGUUCCCGGUGAUUACAGGUCACCUCCUCUGCGCGUGCUCGCCCCCCUCACGCACGCGCAGCACACCUGACGCCCCUCCCCCCCACUUAAUUGUAUUGAUCAAUAAUUGGGUUAUUCUGAAAAUUGCGCUCAGACACGGAAACCUUUCCGGGGACGCAUCACAGUAAUUACGCGUGUCAGCUGAGAAACGCUUUUUACAUCUGCGAGCCGGAUGGAGCGGAAUAUUAACGAGUCCACGCUGGAUGCAUUAAUUGUUGGAGGGCGUGCAGACACUCAAGAGUUCCGGGUCCAGACUGCAGAUGAUCAAGACGUUUAACCAGGAGAGAGUGAGGAAGAGGAGGAGGAGGAGGAAGAAAGAAAAAGGCCAAGUAACUUUUCACCCACCGGCUGACUGACAGUCUUCACAUGUUGGCCUCCACUCCACAGACUGCCACUGUUUUACAGCAGCUUGGAUGUUUCACAGCAUUUGGCUGCAUAUUUUUGAGCCCCUGGAUGCAAGAAGAAGAUCAAAUUUGUGUCCUUCGUGCAUCCAGUUCGAACCUGGAGUCAAAAGUCAAAUAUUAACCACAGGUGUAACUGUCACUCAGUGGGCAGAGCAGCGUCCUCUUCUCUCUCUGGUCCAGUUUCCUGUCAUCACUCAAUGCUGUCUCGUCAAUGAAGCCAUGAAAAGGCCCCAAAAUACAUUAAAUAAACCAGUAAAGUCCCAUUAAAACCAGUUAACUCCAGUCUGUAAAUGCUGAGGUCACAUCGUCUGUGUUGUUCCCGUGAAUAUUCACUGAUAGAGUGCUGAAAAUCUGUCCUCUGAAACUGAAAUAUUACACUAUUACAAGUAAAACUGCUGGGAUUAAAGGUGCACUACGUAGUGUUUGGGGAAGACAUUUCACUGAGAAGAGAAAGAUCUUAAUUGUCUUUUUUAUGCCUUAAACAAACUGACCUUAAAGGACAGUUUCAUAUUGUGGUACUUUGUUUAUAUGUGGCGGACCCUGCCACCUCUUUAGCUUCAAACAGCGAUCUGGGACCUUAUUUUCCUUGUCAAUUCAGUUUUAGAAGAAAAUGUAGUAUUUCUUAAUUUGUUUUAUUAUCUCAUUAAUAAUUUGAUAUUAAGUUAUUCUCCAAAGCGACAUAGUUUACGUUUUUAAAAUGAUACAUAAGUGAAAGUAGAAAGUAAUCUUCUCAAAGUGGUUGUACUAGUUAAUGCGUGGACAGACUUUAAAGAUAACAGUUAACAGAUAGUUUAACUAAAUACUUCACUGUCUAAAUGACGUGACAUUAAAAACUGUGCGUCCUGCAGCAGCUCUGUCCUGUUCCUGAAUGUGACUCAGUGUUUGAGCUGCGUCUGCUCUGAGCUCUUUCCUCCGUUGUGCCACUGAAAGGCACUGUUGACCACAGCAGAGCCGCUGGGUAACAUCCGGAUGAAGACGUCGCCGCGUCGUGUCGUGCAAACCUCCUGAGCUGUGUGUGAAGGUGGAGCACGGGUUCAACGUGGAGCCCGGGUUUUCAAUAACUACGACACUACGACACGCUGCUCUGGAAUGUCUGACUCUAUAUUUCGAAGAGACACUGAAGUGUAGUUUUUGUUUUCAAUGAACGGGGAUAAGAAAAGGAAAAACAUGUCUGAGCUCACACUUUGAAAUAACUCCUAGCUUUACUAUAAGGUGCUCAGUAUUUACUACAUUUAUUGUAAAGAUGCAAUUGUUCCCCUCAAAAAGAGCAGAAAAGUAGCAGAUCAUGAUGUAAAACUCAACAUCUGUGUCCAAAAUCUGAAUUUAUGUCUCGCUAUCAAGUAAACUGUGGAGUUUCUCUGAUAAAGCGAGCAGUGAAGGAGGGAUUUUGGGUGCAGCUUGUUUAUUUUUGUCAUAUUUUCCUCCAGUUUUUGUUCAUUCAUGUAAAUCAUUGUGCAGUUUCUCUCUAAAAACAGAACAAACAGUCUUGUAUUGAAGCGGUUCUACGGGUCAGAGGACACAAAAGGUUCUGAUCGUUCUGGUGAUGUGAUUAUAAAGCUGACUCAUGUAUUUUACGUCCUUUUCCCCCCACAUCUUGUUUGUUUGUCACGUUCGUACCUUUUAAAUCUUUUUUUUUUGUUGGUAAAAUCGCUCCACAGUGAAGCGAUAACGGACCCAAAUGAGCAGGUUUUGUUUUUGGCAUUUUUUCAUUAUCGGGUUCAUAAAAUAACUCGGUCAACUUUCCGCUGGAAACAUGACGGCACGUUAAAUCUGACGACAACCACAAAAAAUAAAAAAGAGAGAGAGAGAAAAGGGUUGUUUUUGUAAAUUUGAAUUUAAUAUGGGCUACAGGUAUUGGAUUUUGUGUCUGCUGGCAGGGAGCCACACACAAUAGCAGGCACAGGUGUUGACCAGGAAAAACAAAAAAAAAAAAGAAUUAAAUAAGGCGAGAAGCAGAAAGUGAUUUGAAUUAUCAUCGUUGAAUCUAUUUGGCAUCUCUGCAGCGGAGAGAGCUUUAAAUUAGAGCUGUAAAGUUUUCUGUACAGUUGAUGCGUGGACAAAAAAAUAAAAAAAGUACGUUUCUUUCUUUAUUUUUUUUUCCUUCUCUCUGCUGGAGGUUUAACAAAACUCUUGAUUUCAAAAAAACUGUUGUUGAUCAAGAAGCGCAGAUAUCUUUGACUCGAGCGUGGGGUAAUGAGAGGAAUUAGCACAAAUGCUCUAAGUAAUAGUUCCUGAUUUUUUUUUUUUUUUCCACUCGCAAAUUAUUUUUUCAACUUGUUUUUUUUGUACCCGUGCAUAAAUUAAAAAAUCUGCUGAAAUUUA